rnacentral:other from 1 species
UGUCCUCUGAGGUGUUAGCCAGUGGCAAUGCACGAAACCUUGUCCCUAUUUAUUGACCUCGGGGUCGCAGACCCACAGCCAGUGUGCAUGUUCGCGCAAGCGAAAAGCCUUAGGCAUGGCGAGCCACCCCACCUGGACCCUUUCGGUUCAAGGUCAGCAUUGUCGCAGCGGCACCCUGGAGGGCAC